rnacentral:rRNA from 1 species
GACAAACCGGAGGAAGGUGGGGAUGACGUCAAAUCAUCAUGCCCCUUAUGACCUGGGCUACACACGUGCUACAAUGGGAAGUACAACGAGUCGCUAGGCCGCGAGGUCAUGCAAAUCUCUUAAAGCUUCUCUCAGUUCGGAUUGUAGGCUGCAACUCGCCUACAUGAAGCCGGAAUCGCUAGUAAUCGCGGAUCAGCACGCCGCGGUGAAUACGUUCCCGGGCCUUGUACACACCGCCCGUCACACCACGAAAGUUUGUAACACCCGAAGUCGGUGAGGUAACCUUUUGGAGCCAGCCACCUAAGGUGGGAUAGAUGAUUGGGGUGAAGUCGUAACAAGGUAACCA